AGGGCGCAUGGCGGAUGCCUUGGCUCUCGGAGGCGAUGAAGGACGUGAUAAGCUGCGAUAAGCUUUGGGGAGGUGCAAAUGACCUUUGAUCCAGAGAUUUCCGAAUGGGACAACCCAAUAUCUUGAAGAGGUAUUAUCCAACGUUGUUGGAGGCUAACGCAGGGAACUGAAACAUCUUAGUACCUGCAGGAAAAGAAAAUAAACAAUGAUUCCCCCAGUAGUGGCGAGCGAACGGGGAACAGCCCAAACCAUCCAUGUUACGGCAUGGGUGGGGUUGUAGGACUACGCCGUUGCAUGAAGACAUCAGAGAAGAACUUUCUGGAAAGAAAGACCAUAGAGCAUGACAGUUGCGUAUUCGAAUGUUGUCGAAGCAUAGUAGUAUCCUGAGUAGCGCGGAGCACGAGGAAUUCUGCGUGAAUCUGCCGGGACCAUCCGGUAAGGCUAAAUACUCCCGAGAGACCGAUAGCGAACCAGUACCGUGAGGGAAAGGUGAAAAGCACUUCGAACAGAAGAGUGAAAUAGUUCCUGAAACCGUGCGCCUACAAGCGGUCGGAGCUCGUUAAUGAGUGACGGCGUGCCUUUUGCAUAAUGAACCUACGAGUUGCCUUUGCCGGCAAGGUUAAGUGUGACGACACACGUAUCCGAAGCGAAAGCGAGUCUGAACAGGGCGUAUAGUCGGCAGUGGCAGACGCGAAACCAAGUGAUCUACCCUUGGCCAGGUUGAAGGCUGGGUAACACCAGCUGGAGGACCGCACCAAUAAGCGUUGAAAAGCUUCUGGAUGAGCUGAGGGUAGGGGUGAAAGGCUAAUCAAACUUGGAGAUAGCUCGUACUCCCCGAAAUGCAUUUAGGUGCAGCCUUGCGGGUUACUGAUGUGAGGUAGAGCGACUGAUAAGAUGCGAGGGCUUCACCGCCUAUCAAGUCUUGACAAACUCCGAAUGCGCAUCAGUUCUACCGCAGGAGUGAGGGCAUGGGUGCUAAGGUCCGUGCCCGAGAGGAGAAGAAUCCGGACCACCUGCUAAGGUCCCGAAAUGACAGCUAAGUUAAACUAACGAAGUCUGACUGCUAAGACAGCUAGGAUGUUGGCUUGGAAGCAGCCAUUCAUUUAAAGAGUGCGUAACAGCUCACUAGUCGAGGAGUCGGGCGUGGAUAAUAAUCGGGUAUUAAGUUGUCUACCGAAGCAGUGGGAUCAUUAAUAUGAUCGGUAGGGGAGCAUUCCAGUCAGCGUCGAAGGCGUACCGUGAGGUAUUCUGGAGCGUCUGGAAAAGCAAAUGUAGGUAUAAGUAACGAUAAAGGGGGCGGGAAACCCCCUCGCCGAAAGACUAAGGUUUCCUGAUCAACGCUAAUCGGAUCAGGGUCAGUCGGGUCCUAAGGCUCAGCCGAACGGCGAUGCCGAUGGCAGAAACGGUUAAUAUUCCGUUACUACCUUCAGGAGUGACGUGGAGACGCAGUAGUGACAGUGCCGCCAUCUGACGGAAUAGAUGGUUGAAGGGUGUAGGAGUCGAUCAUGGCAGGCAAAUCCACCAUGAGAUCCGAACCUGACAGUAUGCCGCGUCCUUCGGGACAAGGCAAUAGUGCGCGUAAGCAUGCUGCCGAGAAAAUCCGCUAAACUUAAUCCUGCAGGUACCCGUACCGCAAACGGACACACGUAGUCGGGAUGAAUAUUCUAAGGCGCUUGAGUGAUUCACGGUUAAGGAACUAGGCAAACUGACCCUGUAACUUCGGGAUAAAGGGUCCCUACCCUUUUAUGGGAGGGCGCAGAGAAUCGGUCCAGGCAACUGUUUAACAAAAACACAGGGCUGUGCCAAAUCGAAAGAUCCAGUAUACAGCCUGACACCUGCCCGGUGCUGGAAGGUUAAGAGGAGAUGUCAUCGAUAAGAGAAGCGUUGAAUUGAAGCCCCAGUAAACGGCGGCCGUAACUAUAACGGUCCUAAGGUAGCGAAAUUCCUUGUCGGGUAAGUUCCGACCUGCACGAAUGGUGUAAUGAUCUGGACGCUGUCUCAACCGUGAGCUCAGUGAAAUUGUAGUAUCGGUGAAGAUGCCGAUUACCCGCGAUGGGACGAAAAGACCCCGUGAACCUUUACUAUAGCUUAUCAUUGAAUCUGGGCACGUGAUGUGUAGGAUAGGUCGGAGGCUUUGAAGCAGGUACGCCAGUAUUUGUGGAGCCGCUGUUGAAAUACGACCCUUUAUUUGUUUGGAUUCUAACCCGUGGAACGGGGACAUUGAUUGGUGGGUAGUUUGACUGGGGUGGUCGCCUCCAAAAGCGUAACGGAGGCUUCUAAAGGUGCCCUCCGGCCGAUUGGUAACCGGCCUUAGAGUGUAAUGGCAUAAGGGCGCUUGACUGGGAGACUAACAAGUCGAUCAGGUAGGAAACUAGAGCAUAGUGAUCCGGUGUUUCCGUAUGGAAGGGACAUCGCUCAAAGGAUAAAAGGUACUCCGGGGAUAACAGGCUGAUCCCUCCCAAGAGCUCAUAUCGACGGAGUGGUUUGGCACCUCGAUGUCGGCUCGUCACAUCCUGGGGCUGGAGAAGGUCCCAAGGGUUGGGCUGUUCGCCCAUUAAAGUGGCACGCGAGCUGGGUUCAGAACGUCGUGAGACAGUUCGGUCUCUAUCUAUCGUGGGCGCAUGAAAUUUGCGUGGCUCUGACACUAGUACGAGAGGACCGUGUUGGACAGACCUCUGGUUUGCCGGUUGUGCCGCCAGGUGCAUUGCCGGGUAUCUAAGUCUGGAUCGGAUAAGUGCUGAAAGCAUCUAAGUACGAAGCCGGCCACAAGAUUAGAUUUCUCAGGGUCGUUGU
rnacentral:rRNA from 1 species